CUCUGUGACUCCUACGGGAGGCAGCAGUGGGGAAUAUUGCACAAUGGGGGAAACCCUGAUGCAGCCAUGCCGCGUGUGUGAAGAAGGCCUUCGGGUUGUAAAGCACUUUCAGUAGGGAGGAAGGUAGUGUAGUUAAUACCUGCAUUAUUUGACGUUACCUACAGAAGAAGCACCGGCUAACUCCGUGCCAGCAGCCGCGGUAAUACGGAGGGUGCGAGCGUUAAUCGGAAUUACUGGGCGUAAAGCGCAUGCAGGCGGCCUGUUAAGUCAGAUGUGAAAGCCCGGGGCUUAACCUCGGAAUUGCAUUUGAAACUGGCAGGCUAGAGUCUUGUAGAGGGGGUAGAAUUUCAGGUGUAGCGGUGAAAUGCGUAGAGAUCUGAAGGAAUACCAGUGGCGAAGGCGGCCCCCUGGACAAAGACUGACGCUCAGAUGCGAAAGCGUGGGGAGCAAACAGGAUUAGAUACCCUGGUAG
rnacentral:rRNA from 1 species